rnacentral:rRNA from 1 species
GAUGAACGCUGGCGGCGUGCCUAAUACAUGCAAGUCGAGCGAACAGACGAGGAGCUUGCUCCUCUGACGUUAGCGGCGGACGGGUGAGUAACACGUGGAUAACCUACCUAUAAGACUGGGAUAACUUCGGGAAACCGGAGCUAAUACCGGAUAAUAUAUUGAACCGCAUGGUUCAAUAGUGAAAGACGGUUUUGCUGUCACUUAUAGAUGGAUCCGCGCCGCAUUAGCUAGUUGGUAAGGUAACGGCUUACCAAGGCAACGAUGCGUAGCCGACCUGAGAGGGUGAUCGGCCACCUUGGAAGUGGGACGCGGACCAGACGCCUACGGGAGGCAGCAGUCGGGAAUGUGCGGCAAUGGGCGAGAGCAUGAAGCAGCAAGGCCGAGUGAGUGAUGAAAGUCUUCGGAUCGUAAAACUCUGUUAUUAGGGAAGAACAAAUGUGUAAGUAACUAUGCACGUCUUGACGGUACCUAAUCAGAAAGCCACGGCUAACUACGUG